rnacentral:rRNA from 1 species
AUGGCGGACCUCUUCUUCGGGGGAAGCCCCUUCCGGCGGCUCCUCUACGCCCGCCCCUUAGCCUCCGCCACGGCCGCCAUGGACUGGGUGGAGACCCCGACCUCCCACGUCCUCAGGAUCAACGUCCCGGGGCUGGGCAAAGACGACGUCAAGGUCCAGGUGGAGGACGGCAACGUGCUCAGCGUCAGGGGCGCGGCCAAGGAGAAGGGAAACGAGGGAAACGAGGAGGCGGCGGUGUGGCACGUGGCGGAGCGCGGGAAGCCGGAGUUCGCGCGGGAGGUGGCGCUGCCGGAGCACGUCAGGGUGGAGCAGAUCAGGGCCAGCGUCGACAACGGCGAGCUCACCGUCGUCGUGCCCAAGGAGCCCGCCCCGGCCCGGCCCCGGACCAGGCCCAUCGCGGUCUCCAGCAAGCUGUGA